rnacentral:rRNA from 1 species
UACGUAGGUGACCAGCGUUGUCCGGAUUUACUGGGCGUAAAGAGCGCGCAGGCGGUCGUUCAAGUCGAGUGUGAAAGCCCCCGGCUCAACUGGGGAGGGUCACUCGAUACUGAUCGACUUGAAGGCAGGAGAGGGAAGCGGAAUUCCCGGUGUAGUGGUGAAAUGCGUAGAUAUCGGGAGGAACACCAGUGGCGAAGGCGGCUUCCUGGCCUGUUAUUGACGCUGAGGCGCGAAAGCUAGGGGAGCAAACGGG